rnacentral:lncRNA from 1 species
GUUUGCCCGUCUUCGCAGGCGCUUUGGGGGACUUGAUGUUGACGGAGAAGAGUCUAGAGUGAAGCAAACGAAACCACAGGACGUGGUCAUGUGGAAUGUGGAAGGCCUGCAGACAGACGUCAUCCCCUGAAACUGUCCUAAACAAGGUGCAGGCCAAUCAGGAAGAGGAGAGGCUGAAUAGAGAGCUCCAGCUAACCACCCAGGAGAGAAAUGAGCUGAC